rfam:Trichobilharzia regenti genome assembly, scaffold: TRE_scaffold0065959
AUCCAACUGACGAGUCCCAAAUAGGACGAAAUGCGCUUUAUCCUGGAU